CCCAAGUCGCCGCUUGGUCCCAGCCGGCGGGCGAAGGCGGCCCCUCUCCGGACGCCCCGCCUCCGACUCCCGUUACACCCGGGGGAAGGUGUUCCAGAGGCCGCUCCCAUCCUCACCCCGCCUCCCGCUCUCCCGGCGCUAGCCUCUGCCGCCGGAGCCCACUAUGCCAGAUACUUUCGACACUUUGCAAAGACAAAGAGCCCUAGACCGGAGGGAGGCGAGAGGAGGAGGCAGAAGAGGAGGUAGAGGAGGACCCGGAGGUGUGAGCUGGUCGGGGUGAGUAUCCCGGACGCAUCUCCUUAGAUACCCCUCCGAACCUCCUCUGCACCCCAAGCCGGGCAACUCCGGUGUGUCUCCGGCGUUGGGCGAGUGCGCACCCAGCUGGUCGCUGUCCGGGUGCCCCAGGGACGGCGCCGCCUCGUGAGUUGGGGCUCGGGAAAUUCCGCAUGUGUUCUCUGAGUGCAGAGGUGAUCGCCCGGACCCCGGCACAGCAGGGGUGGGGAAGGGACUUAGGAAGGUAUGGUUGGCAGAGGAAGUGGGGCCGAAGACCCUAGGCGCCGAGAGGGAGAGAGCUCCGUCUCAGCCACGGCCACCACGGUGGUCUCAGGAAGAGUGUCAGGGAGGAGACUCCAGCUCUGAGGAUCCAGGCUCUUUGGCGCUUAACGGAGGAGCCUCCCGGAGCUCAGUGGGGGAGCCUACGGUGAUGGUGGCAGCUAUUCCCGGAGCGGCCGCGGUGACAUUGCACCCAGCACCGCAGUAGCUCCUAGCCCGGGCCGCGGGUAGCAGACUCCAUCAGGGGCUGCUUGCCCACACUCUCUAGAGAAGCCGAGGUCUUGGGCUGGGACACUGUGGGGACGCUUGGAGGCCGUUGGUUAUCUAGACCAGAGAUAGUGGGACAGUGUCCGGGAUGGAGUCUCCCAAUCCGCUGUGAGCAGGCGCAGACCCGGGAGGAGGCUGUGGGCCCCCGGGACACCUCUAAUCCCGCGCUGCGCCGGAUCUCCGGGACAAGUUGGCUCUUAGGACAGGACAGCUGCAUGAGGUGUGUUGGAAAGCCGGUGGAUUAGCGUGGGCAAAGGGAGCAGGCGGUGGCAACUCGAAACUUGGGAGUCUGCCCCAACCCUGUUAGGCGCCUCAGCUGCCAAGAAACAAUGUGACAAAAGUUAGCAACUUGUCCGUGUCUCUGUAAUGUGACGUGCGCAGGGCACAGUCCUCCGCCCCUUUGAUGAGUGCACCGGGGUGGGAAACCGUUGACACCGGGCAAGGCGACUCGGUUGGAGUACUGUUAGCUCCGAAUCGGACCGUUGCGCAAGCAACUUUGAGCCCUUGGAGUUUUUUAUUUGCUUGUUUGGUUGUUUUUUUUUUUUUUUAUCUUUUCUACGUGUGAGUGUUUGAGCGUGACCUUGCGGGAGGCAGCGCGGCUGAACUCGAGAUGGGCAUUGAGUUGACCGGUGCCCCCCUCGUGGUACAGACUUGACUUUGAUGAACUGAAAAUGCCAUCAAGAAGUGGCUGUCAUCUCCCCGGGCUGUGCUAAGUGAGCUAGGUUCAGAGCUGUGGAACCGGAAAGUUGUGUCUGUGUCUCAGCCUCCUGAGGUGAGUGACUGCCUCCACCAUGUGAGGGAGAUGUGCUGUGUUUUCCAGACUCUCCCACGAGGCUAUGCUGUGGCUUGCGUUGGGGGAUGAGAAAAAUAACCUGUCUUUUCCACACUUGGAAUUAUGUUGAGGGCUUGGACAAGGGAUGAGACAUGUGCUGUGUUUUCCAGGCUCUUCUGUGGGCUGUGUAGCAGAGCAAGGGGUGUUGCCCUGUUUUCUUAGACUCUUUGUAGUGUGACCUGCCAGCCAUGUGGGCCUGCUCUCCUCUGGAAGUGCAGAGCGGGCUUCUAAUGGAGAGCUUUGCAGUUCUUGUGGACAGUGGCCAUUCUUCCAUGACAAGUGAACAUCAUUACAGAUAAGGCCUGGCCUGUCACUGCUGCAGUCUACAUCAAGUGCUACACGGUGGCUCUGAGGACAGACCUCAUGAGACACACUUGUCACUUGCUCUGUGUCCUGGGCAUCUAGAUCUGAAGAUGGCUUGUCUGCUGUGAGGAAACAGUUUUCUGUUGGUGCCUUGGUGCCUCUCUGGGGAAAAUGGUGUGGCAGCCACAAUGAGGUCCUGCGUGUAUGCAUUCCUACCUUACAUUCUGAGCACAGUGCUAGCAAAGAUGUGUGUAUAUAUCUAUGUAGGACAAAUGUGUGUGUGGUGUGUGUGUGGUGUGUGUGUGUGUGUGUGUGUGUGUGUGUGUGGUAUGUGUGUGUGUGUGGUGUGUGUGGUGUGUGUGUGUGUGUGUGUGUGUACAUAAAUUCACAUCUAUAAACAUCAUCCAGGUUAUUACUAAGUAAACUGUAUUGGUAACUUUCCUCCUCACUGACAAAAGGUGACUUAAGAAAGGGUUAAUUGCAGCCCACGGUGUGAGGUCUAGUCAGUCCCUUAUGGCAGAGAAGUUAUGGUGUCAGGAGUCUGAUGCAGCUGGUCACGUGGCAUGCACAGUCAGGAGCUUGCUCUCUCCUUCUGAUUUAGUUCAAGACACCAGCCCACUCAUGGGUACCACCACGAUUAGGGUAGACAUUCCUGCUUCAACUAAUUCAACCUAGAAGUCCCCCACCCACAAAAGCAAAGCCAGAGGUUUGUUUCUGAACAAUGACAACUCUGACUAACCCUCGUCAAGCUGAGGAGCCGACCGUUGUGUUGACUUACCUGCAUAGCCACUACAUCAGGAAUUCCUGCUGAUGAUGCUAGAGCAUCCGUGAAAUUCCAGUCUAUAUUGCUGUAUAUGGCUCAGCACCACGCCAAACACCAGAUUCACUGAACUGUCAGUCAUGCGGCAAUAUGGUACCAUGAACGCACUGCCUCGGAAAGCAGCCAUUUACAGUGAGCAUCUGUCUUAGGGUUCUGCUCACAUGGAAAGGCCCAGGGAGGCUUCAUACGUGAGAAAGAAAACCCAAAGCAGAGGGUGAGUGUCACAGAUGUCACCAAGUACCUCACAGACACUCCCGAAGGGAAGGUAGACUUGUUUCGGCUUAUGAUUUAAGGGGACAUGAGCCACCAUAGUGGUACAGACAAGACGGCAGUGUGUGAACACAGUGAGAAGGCAGCACAUGGCGGCAUUUUGUCCUGAGCUUAGAGUGGGAGGAAGACUUGAGAACUCUCUUCUCUUGCCCUGGAUCUACCUGGCUGAGUUGCAGGAGUAGCAAGGAAGUGAUGGGGAAAGUACUUCUGUGUAUGUUCAUCUUAUUGAUUGUUGAAUAAAAUACUGUUUGGCCAAUGGCAGCAAGUUAGACAGGACUAGGAGUCAAAGAGGAUUCUGGGAAAUGUAGUAGAGAAGUGGUGAUCCAGGCAGGAAGUGACAUAGCAAGGAGACUCAUAUUUAGUAAGGAGAAACAGGAAGUGUCCCCCCUCCCCCUUGGCCUCCUCCAGAGGUGGAAUGUGAGCCACCGGCAAGGAGGGCGCCAAUAAGGCGUCCGAUAAGAUAAGUCUUAUAAAAUAUAUAGAUUUAUGAUAAGUAAGACUGAGCUAACAAAUGAGGAUCCUAGUCAUUGGCCUAGCAGCUUUGUACCUAAUAUAAGUCUCUGUAUUAUUUUGUCCAUCCACGUGGCGGUGGGUCUCGGGCAGCCUUGGCGGAAAGAUUUAUCGUAACAAGGAAGCCUUAACUUGAACACGGCUGUAUUCCCAACAUCAGGCGACAAACACUAGUUUCCCUCAUGGGUCCACAAGUGUUUCUGUGUUCUUGGAGGUGUCAGGUGCUGUUCUAGACCAAGACCCAGAGAGUUCCCGUCCUAGCCGGGAGUGGCACGGGGGGAGAAGGAAAUAUUCGUAGAAGUGGCAGGAUAGUGGGCAGGGGCCCAGGGGUGUGCAGUUGUGUGGGCAACAGAGACCUGAGCAUGUGCCUGUGGGGACCCCGCCCCCACUGCCAAUGGGUGAGAAAUGUCUAUGACUGUUGGUCACACAUCAUGACAGGCAUGUUCCCUCCUUAGUAGGGGCUAUGGCCCUGUAGAGAACAAAGCUUGUUUCUGCCCCCACACAUUCAGGCGUGGAAACUCUCAGGGCUAAGUUAUUUCCUCUAAAAACAGCAGGCCGUGUUAUCAGCCUGACCAGAGACAGCCUGCAGGCCAGGCUCUGGGUAACUCAGAUAAGAGGGCAUGGUGACAGUCCCCAGAUACUGACCUGGGUGGGGAGGACCCUGUGGAAUUUCCACUGUUGAUAGCUUUUGAGGAGAAGGUGGCAGUGUCAAGAGCAGGUGCCCCUUCCCUGGAAGAGGGGAGACACAGGGUAUUUGCCUGUCCGAAAGGCCCUCAGAUGGCGAAGGAGUAGCCUGUACGGGGGAUUUAACGAGUGAACCGGAUGGGUGUGUGAGAAGGAAAAGAAGAUAGCUUUUGUUUCUGUCUGUGCUUCCCCUCUGUGGUUUCUUGGCAGGCACUCAUGGGCGCCUCUAGCCCCGGGCACUGGGGGUUAAAGGAAUCGGCAGGUGCCUUACCUCUGGGAUGCUGAUAGCCAAGGCAAGGAGAAACAGACAGAUCCAUCGGUUAUUGGCAGGCACGGAGCAUUGUUCUGGCUUUGUGGAGCUUGAGACAUUUGCAGUUUGGAGCUGGCUAUAAAGAAGUAAUAUACUAAUUCAUAGAUUUAAAAUAAAAUAUAAGCCUUGGUAAGUGGGGUGCUCUGGGGAUGGGGUACCACUGUCCUGGCAUGGGCCAGUCUCAGUCUCCAGUGGAUUUGCAGCUGAGGGACUAUUAUCAGGUCUUCUCUCCUGGGUCUCUGGAGAUUGUCAGUGGGGAGCAGGUCAUUUUCCGAUGCCUGGACAUAUACUCAGAAGGACGGCCACUGGCUGGACAGCAACGUCCACACUAGUACUUGGUAGCAUGGGUGUUCCUGUCCUCAUUUUCUGUCUGAUGAGAUGGGAUAAAGUCUUUUGUUCCAUUUGUGCUGAUGGGGUGUUCAACGACACAUUCUGUACAGUCUUCAGGCCAACUGUGGUGCUUUGAGAAUGGCCUGGCCCCCUGAGGCUUAUGUAUUUAAAUACUUAGUCACCAGGGAGUGGAACUGUUUAAGAAGGAUUAGGAGGAUUAGAAGGCGUGGCCUUGCUGGAGGAAUUAUGUUCCUGGGGUGGGCUUUGAGGUUUGAAAAACCCACACCAGGCCCAGUCUCAGUCUCAGUCUCAGUCUCUCUCUCUCUCUCUCUCUCUCUGCCUGUUGCCGUCAGAUCAGGAUGUAAAGGUCGAAUCUACUGCUCAAAUCACAGUGCCUGUCUGCCUGUUGCCAUGACGAUCAUGAACUAGCCCUUAAAGACUCUAACUCUAAUUAGAUGUGUUCCUUCAUAGGACUUGCCUUGAUUGUGGUGUUUGUUCAUGGCAACAGAAAGGUAACAAAGACCUAGUGAUCCCACUUCUGGGCUGCGCCCUAAGGACCAGCUGAGCUGCUGGAGCACUGAGCUAAGUGUGCCUGGAGCAUGUGGGAGUGCCUCCCAAGGCUUGGCUGGAGGUAAUUUCUAAGAGUACAUGGUCAGUCACUUUGGGAACUAGCUAGUGCACCCCAGGUGCACCCCACUUACCAAGAGCUUGUAUUUUGCUUUAAAUAUGCGACUUUGAAGGGACCAGCUCCCCUUUCGGCAGUCAUAGCGGCCGAACACGUGCUUGUAUGACCUUGUCCUGGACACUAGAAAGUCAGAUGCCUGCCUCGUGACAAGGAACCAAUCAGAAGUUAGCUGGUGGCGCUAUGCUUUACAACCCUGGCUGUACUUUACAGACAAACACACAGCAAUGACGCAAAGCAUAGCAACCACCCUGGGAGGGCCUAUGGGCCAUAACAACCAGUUGGCCAAUCAACACAGGGCAAUCCCUCCAAGGCUGGAGGCACACCAAUAGUGAGCCUGUGUGUACCCCUAGACACUCCCCUUAAGCUGCCCUAUAAGAUCUCCGUCCUGUGGCUUCUCAGAGUCUUUUGCGAGCCAUCCACCAUGGCUGAAAGACCAUGAGUGAAAGACCCGAGCUAACAUGGGGUUAGCUCGUUAAAUUACAAUAAAGCCUCAUGCAAUUUGCAGCAAGCUCUCGAAUCUGCCUGGUGAUUGGGGUGACCAUGGUCGUGGCCUGGGACCCCAGAUACCUGAGUUUUCCAGGGGUCUACAACUUUAUAUAGUGUUUUCUUGGAGAUAACUCCAAACUGUGCAAGAUUUUUAUGGAACACAGGCACAGGGUUGUUUAGUAAGGAACCCCCAGGCCCAUGGCUUUGAGCUGGGCUUUGAAGUUGCAGUGUGUUUCCAGAGCCUUGCCCGUAAGCUCUGUUGCCUCUAGGAUUCUUGUUUCUAAGUCUUUGACAGCUUCUAGUACUCAGGGAAAUAGCAUGAGUGGCCAAGUCCAGGAACAGAAUUAAAUAAAAUAUAACUUAGAAUGGAGUCAUUCAUAGUGAGUCCGUGUAUGAUUUCCUAGAACGAUGGGGUGUUCCGGAUACUAGAUGCUAAGGGGAAAGUCCUGUGUAUGUCCAGAAAAAAAAUGGAGAGAGAGGGCAGGGCAUGUUAGUUCUCUAUCCAGCUUACAUACCCUCAGUUGGGCUUGUUACAGCAACUCAUUUGCCUACACAUCCCAGUGCCUGUUCCAUUGUCCUGACCCUGGAGACACAGCAGCUUUUAAAGGUUGGGACCAGGAGUGUUCCUGCACUUGUGUGGCCUCUCUGCUCCUUCUCUCCUGUAGCAGAUGUAACUCACACCAGCCUCCCUUAGAUCUGCCACUCCCCUCCUGGGGAACGUAUAUUUCCAGUCAACCACUGUGGCCAGGCCCAGUGUCGCAGGAAGAGAGGGCCACCAGGGGCAUGAAAUUUUCACAGGUGCUUUUAGAAGGUAGCCCCAUACAUUUGAGUCUUUCACUCUUCACCAAUGACCAGUUCUGGGUCUGCUCAUGCCCAGAUGGCCGGUAUUCAGGCAUUUACAGGUUCUGCAGAUGAUCUGAGUUCCAGACACACUUCCCUCUGCAUCCUUCUUCCUUCUUGUAACCUCCAUGUUCAUAAUAUCCCUGGGAUAGAGUCCGAGUUCUGUGGGAGGAAGAACAAGACUCCCAAAGUCCCUAGCCUCAUCCUAGCUCUCCCAACCCCCUGCUAGGCACAGAGCAACCUUCAGAGCAGCGAUUAGUGUGGUCUGGGUGCAAAUCACAUGUCUGCUACUCACCGAGUCAUCCUGGCCUCACUUUCCUUACCUGUGAAAUGGACAGAGUCGCUAGUGAUAGCCUGGAUUGAUUACUUUACAAAAAAGGGCUGAGUCCUUCUAGAUACAGCCCACGCCGUUGGGCAGCAUGAGACAGAGGAGUUGUUGGUAGGUGUCGAUGGUGUACAACAGUUUAUUCUGAGCCAAAUAUAAGUGCCCGUGGGUCCGUCGGGAACACAGAUUCAAGUUGCCCCCCAAAAUGUAGUUCCCCAUGAAGUGGUAACAUGGACUCAAUGUUACAGAACAAAAGAAACUCCUAAAGCAACACUUUUGCCUAAGACUUUAGUGGGAACAUCAGGCAGGCGGGCAGGCUACAUCAAAGGGGGUGGAAUAUCUCUGCUACAGAUCUCAGCAGCUGUGUGAUGACAUGCUUAGCUUUUGAUUCACGGGUGGGAGCUGGUGGAGUGCUAACACACACUGAAGGUUUCACUUGAAGUUAAAAGGACAUGCGGCCAGAUAUCAAGGUAGUUGACAAAUGGAUAUUAAGAAGACUUAAAUGUCGCCCAUAAUAUUGGCUUAGGAGAUGUCUUGUGUAGCCAGGCUGGCUUUGAACUUGCUUUGUAGCUGAGGUUGACCUUGAACUUCUGCUCCUCCUACCUCUGCUUCCCCUGUGUUGAGAUUACAAGCAUGCCACACUAUGCCCUGGACGUGGUAAUUAAGCACUCUGCGAACUGAGUUGCACCUCCAGUGCAGGCCAGGAUACUUUUCUCUCUGACUACAACAGUUUAGCCACCCACAAUUACUGAGAGUCUGCAAAACCUUCAACAUAGGCAUGGCUUUUUUUUUUUUCUUUCUGUGAACUUGAGUCCACAACAAAGGGUGGAGUGGCCGUGGAGUGGACAUAAUUGUGAUGUCCUAGUUCUCGUGACCCCUCCAGAUGGGAACCUGCUGUGUGCCUCAGGGACUUCAAGCCCCUGGGGUUUGCAUAUGCUCUUCCUCCCUGAGGGGGGGGGCAUCUUCCCCGACCUCCUAAUGAGUCAUUUGUCAUCUCUUCUUCAAAACUCAGUGUUACACACACACACACACACACCACACACACACUCACCCUGUCUUCUGGAAAUCAUCCCUUCCCUUCCCAUUUCCAUUGUCACCUCAUCUGCAGCCAGGCUUCACCCUUUGACAUCUCCCAUCCCUCCUGUUGCACCACACUGUCACCCUGGCCAGUCCUCAGUAGCCCAGUGCACGCUCCUGGGAGGGGUAGGACUGGUGUCUCCUUCCCUUGUGAGCUCUUACCUGUGCCAAGUGCAGCUUUUCCUUUCUAGUACUGAGGAAGGUGGUGAACCAGGCACCAGUCAUUCCCAAAGCACUAGAAAGCGCAACCCAAAGCCAGGCUAUUUCACACCGCUCUCAGCACCACAGGCUGGCCCACCUGAUGUAGUGUUUAGCACUACUUUCAGAGUGUGUCAAGCUGAAGGGGUGAGGGUUAGGCAGAUCUUCCGGGAAUCUGUCACUCUCCUCCUCAGCCUCCUCAGCCUCCUCAGGUCCCAGCUAUCCUGUGACACCAACUUGGACCUAGUUUUAGGGCAAUGGAAACUGAAGAUUCUGUGGGCUUGGGGGUCUUGACUUUGGGAACCUUUGCUCUUUUUGGAUACUGGCCCAAACCCUGCCACUCAUAUGUCUGCAUGCCUCCCACUUUCCUAAGCAAAUACAGCCAAGGAGCCUUCAGCCCUUUCUGAAACCAAUGCCUGGGUGUGGAGCAGGAGAAGGAAGGAGGAGAAGGGUAACAGAGCCAGCCUGCCUGUGAUCCAUUUGGCAAGCCUUUAUUCUGCAUCUCACAGCAAGUCCAAGAGGACUGUUCGAGGAAGACACGUCACUGUGUUGCUCAAUGGUUUUUGUGUAAACACUUUCCUAAGCACUGAAGUUACCCUCUGUGUCCAGAGUAAAGGCCAUCAGGAAAAAAAAAAAAAAAAAAAAACAGGAAAGGGACUUCAAGGCUGGAGGCACAGAUUUGCUUUUCUUUGUCAACUAGAAUAGAAUCUUUUCCCUUCUCAUAGCAGCCUCUACAGAUGGGCAGUGUGCUCAACAGGGGCCUCUAGGGGUCAGGGACCAUCUCUUUCCACCUCGAGUCCUGUACUUGGGUCAAGGAGUCACUCUGAGAGUAUUCCAGGAAUCACCGUGAGCAGUCAUUGUGCUGCACCGUUGUUGCGUAAUAUCCCAGCAAACAGCGGUAGAAGCUGGAAGUUUCCGUCCCCCUCUGUUGCUGUAUAUUUGUAUGUCAUGCAUAUCAAGGUACGUGAUCGUCAUGGUUACUGUCACCGGCCCUGUGAUGUUGUGAUCAUUUCCCUCUGUUUGAACUGUGUUCCUGGGAUGAGGAGCGAGCGAGACACUGGAACUGCUUUGAUAAUUUCUGCCACCUGUUUGCUGCGGUGACCUGGCUGUGGAAGAAAGCCAGGAAGACUGGGAACAGGAGCUGGAAAAUGAUCCCAAGAGGCUGGGAGGGGGACAGGGCAAAAGCCAAGGAGAUUCCACAGCUGGUGGGAUCGUGUGACAGGCAAGUGGAUCUUUUUUCUGUGGGGUUCAGUGUCCAGGUCAUGGAGAAGUAGGAGCAAGGGGUCAGGCCAGGAAGAGGCAGGAAAUGGGGCUAAGGGUGCUUGUUUCUGAUAUGAACAGAACCCAUUCUCCAAUCUUGCCCUCAUUAGGGGCUGUCUCGUGGACAGGUAAUGAGCUGCACUGGACUGUGACCCACUUCGGGUCAGCCUUGGUUGUUGAUGCCCCACAGGGCAAAAAAUGGCACAAGCAUGGCCUGUGGUUCUCUGUGUGCAGGGCCUGCAGGCCAUUUGUACCAGGUGAUGGUAUUUUAGUGCUCCAUGAAAUCUCGAGGGCCUUUGGACCACGAAGGAGGAAUGCCCACAUUCUGUGGAAAUUCAGGGGCUUCCACGAUUCCAGUAUCCGAUGGAAACCAGAGAGCCCUGGCUCUGCUAAGUGCCCUGAAGUCCAGAAAUACUUAAUAGUGUACACCAGACUUCAUCUGUGUAUGCUCGGAUG
rnacentral:lncRNA from 1 species